UGAUCAUUAAUCUCAAUUAAGAUGUUUUGGAUUCACUUUUGGGGAGCAGUCAUGUCGUCCAUCUUUAUAUACAGGCUGUGGUGAACCCACGUCACCCGAUUCUCCAACAAGCUGCUAGCUUAACAGCUGUGAGUACUAUGUUUAUAAUACGUAAUACGUUCAUUAUGAUACUUUUGGUGGAGUGGUUUUGAAGGGAGGCCUGAAGGGACGGGCUGUCGGUGUUACCGAUUUGGAGCUAGUGCUGCUAGCUACUUUAAUUGGAAAUGAGUUAGCAACGCUGGUCUGGGUUUUUCGGUUGGAUAAUUUUCAAAAUAG